GCAAACUUGGUCAUUUAGAGGAAGUAAAAGUCGUAACAAGGUUUCCGUAGGUGAACCUGCGGAAGGAUCAUUAACGUGCCCGGGACCCCGCGGCGUCUCACCCCUAACCGGGGGGGCGUGUCUUGCGGGUGUCCCCUACCGGCCCCACACUUGUCUACAGACCCACGUUGCCUCGGCGGGCCCGCCCUUAGCUGGGCCGCUGGGGGGUUCACACCCCCUGGCCCGCGCCCGCCGGAGGACCCCAACUGAAUCUCUUGUCAUAGCGAGUUGCAGUCUGAGCUAUAACGCAAAUGAAUCAAAACUUUCAACAAUGGAUCUCUUGGUUCCGGCAUCGAUGAAGAACGCAGC
rnacentral:misc_RNA from 1 species